CAGUCGAGCGGAGACGACAGCAUUGACCCUUCGGGUGAUUUGUUGGGCGUCGAGCGGCGGACGGGUGAGUAAUGCCUGGGAAAUUGCCCUGAUGUGGGGGAUAACCAUUGGAAACGAUGGCUAAUACCGCAUAACGUCUACGGACCAAAGAGGGGGACCUUCGGGCCUCUCGCUUCAGGAUAUGCCCAGGUGGGAUUAGCUAGUUGGUGAGGUAAUGGCUCACCAAGGCGACGAUCCCUAGCUGGUCUGAGAGGAUGAUCAGCCACACUGGAACUGAGACACGGUCCAGACUCCUACGGGAGGCAGCAGUGGGGAAUAUUGCACAAUGGGCGCAAGCCUGAUGCAGCCAUGCCGCGUGUAUGAAGAAGGCCUUCGGGUUGUAAAGUACUUUCAGUCGUGAGGAAGGCGUUGAAGUUAAUAGCUUUAUCGUUUGACGUUAGCGACAGAAGAAGCACCGGCUAACUCCGUGCCAGCAGCCGCGGUAAUACGGAGGGUGCGAGCGUUAAUCGGAAUUACUGGGCGUAAAGCGCAUGCAGGUGGUUUGUUAAGUCAGAUGUGAAAGCCCGGGGCUCAACCUCGGAACCGCAUUUGAAACUGGCAGGCUAGAGUACUGUAGAGGGGGGUAGAAUUUCAGGUGUAGCGGUGAAAUGCGUAGAGAUCUGAAGGAAUACCAGUGGCGAAGGCGGCCCCCUGGACAGAUACUGACACUCAGAUGCGAAAGCGU
rnacentral:rRNA from 1 species